GCGGACGUGGCGAAAUUGGCAGACGCACUAGACUUAGGAUCUAGCGCCUCACGGCAUGUGGGUUCAAGUCCCUCCGUCCGCACCA
rnacentral:tRNA from 1 species